rnacentral:rRNA from 1 species
CCCUCCCGUGUCGGGAGGCGGGUGGGAGGCACGGGGGGCCUACGGGAGGCAGCAGUGAGGAAUCUUCCACAAUGGGGGCAACCCUGAUGGAGCAACGCCGCGUGAAGGAUGAAGGCCCUCGGGUUGUAAACUUCUUUUAUGAGUGAAGAAUAUGACGGUACUCAGUAAGAAUUUACGAG